GCCGCAGUACCCUGACUGUGCUAAGGUAGCAUAAUCAAUAGGCUUAUAAUUGAAGUCUGGUAUGAAGGAAAAUUUGGGAGCUAACUGUCUCUUUGGGAAUAUUUGAAUUUUUUUAUAAAGUGCAAAAACUUUAAAUUAAUUAUUAGACGAGAAGACCCUAGAAAUUUUUUAAAUUAUUUUGUUGGGGCGACAA
rnacentral:rRNA from 1 species